GCAAGAGACCAUUUCUACUUUAAAAGAUGAUGACUGGUUUAAAUGUGAAUUCAACCAGGGUUGAGCCUGGUUAACUUGGAUGGGAGACCACUGGGAAUACUAGGUGCCGUU
rnacentral:rRNA from 1 species